UACGUAGGGUGCAAGCGUUGUCCGGAAUUAUUGGGCGUAAAGAGCUUGUAGGCGGUCUGUCGCGUCUGCUGUGAAAACUCGAGGCUCAACCUCGAGACGCCGGUGGAAACCGUGUGGCUAGAGUCCGGAAGAGGAGAGUGGAAUUCCUGGUGUAGCGGUGAAAUGCGCAGAUAUCAGGAAGAACACCGGUGGCGAAGGCGGGUCUCUGGGCCGAUACUGACGCUGAGGAGCGAAAGCGUGGGGAGCGAACAGG
rnacentral:rRNA from 1 species